rnacentral:rRNA from 1 species
GGGUUGUGAGGUUAAGCGACUAAGCGUACACGGUGGAUGCCCUGGCAGUCAGAGGCGAUGAAGGACGUGCUAAUCUGCGAUAAGCGUCGGUAAGGUGAUAUGAACCGUUAUAACCGGCGAUUUCCGAAUGGGGAAACCCAGUGUGAUUCGUCACACUAUCAUUAACUGAAUCCAUAGGUUAAUGAGGCGAACCGGGGGAACUGAAACAUCUAAGUACCCCGAGGAAAAGAAAUCAACCGAGAUUCCCCCAGUAGCGGCGAGCGAACGGGGAGCAGCCCAGAGCCUGAAUCAGUGUGUGUGUUAGUGGAAGCGUCUGGAAAGGCGCGCGAUACAGGGUGACAGCCCCGUACACAAAAAUGCACAUGCUGUGAGCUCGAUGAGUAGGGCGGGACACGUGGUAUCCUGUCUGAAUAUGGGGGGACCAUCCUCCAAGGCUAAAUACUCCUGACUGACCGAUAGUGAACCAGUACCGUGAGGGAAAGGCGAAAAGAACCCCGGCGAGGGGAGUGAAAAAGAACCUGAAACCGUGUACGUACAAGCAGUGGGAGCACAGAGCAAUCUGUGUGACUGCGUACCUUUUGUAUAAUGGGUCAGCGACUUAUAUUCUGUAGCAAGGUUAACCGAAUAGGGGAGCCGAAGGGAAACCGAGUCUUAACUGGGCGUUAAGUUGCAGGGUAUAGACCCGAAACCCGGUGAUCUAGCCAUGGGCAGGUUGAAGGUUGGGUAACACUAACUGGAGGACCGAACCGACUAAUGUUGAAAAAUUAGCGGAUGACUUGUGGCUGGGGGUGAAAGGCCAAUCAAACCGGGAGAUAGCUGGUUCUCCCCGAAAGCUAUUUAGGUAGCGCCUCGUGAAUUCAUCUCCGGGGGUAGAGCACUGUUUCGGCAAGGGGGUCAUCCCGACUUACCAACCCGAUGCAAACUGCGAAUACCGGAGAAUGUUAUCACGGGAGACACACGGCGGGUGCUAACGUCCGUCGUGAAGAGGGAAACAACCCAGACCGCCAGCUAAGGUCCCAAAGUCAUGGUUAAGUGGGAAACGAUGUGGGAAGGCCCAGACAGCCAGGAUGUUGGCUUAGAAGCAGCCAUCAUUUAAAGAAAGCGUAAUAGCUCACUGGUCGAGUCGGCCUGCGCGGAAGAUGUAACGGGGCUAAACCAUGCACCGAAGCUGCGGCAGCGACACUAUGUGUUGUUGGGUAGGGGAGCGUUCUGUAAGCCUGUGAAGGUGUACUGUGAGGUAUGCUGGAGGUAUCAGAAGUGCGAAUGCUGACAUAAGUAACGAUAAAGCGGGUGAAAAGCCCGCUCGCCGGAAGACCAAGGGUUCCUGUCCAACGUUAAUCGGGGCAGGGUGAGUCGACCCCUAAGGCGAGGCCGAAAGGCGUAGUCGAUGGGAAACAGGUUAAUAUUCCUGUACUUGGUGUUACUGCGAAGGGGGGACGGAGAAGGCUAUGUUGGCCGGGCGACGGUUGUCCCGGUUUAAGCGUGUAGGCUGGUUUUCCAGGCAAAUCCGGAAAAUCAAGGCUGAGGCGUGAUGACGAGGCACUACGGUGCUGAAGCAACAAAUGCCCUGCUUCCAGGAAAAGCCUCUAAGCAUCAGGUAACAUCAAAUCGUACCCCAAACCGACACAGGUGGUCAGGUAGAGAAUACCAAGGCGCUUGAGAGAACUCGGGUGAAGGAACUAGGCAAAAUGGUGCCGUAACUUCGGGAGAAGGCACGCUGAUAUGUAGGUGAAGUCCCUCGCGGAUGGAGCUGAAAUCAGUCGAAGAUACCAGCUGGCUGCAACUGUUUAUUAAAAACACAGCACUGUGCAAACACGAAAGUGGACGUAUACGGUGUGACGCCUGCCCGGUGCCGGAAGGUUAAUUGAUGGGGUUAGCGCAAGCGAAGCUCUUGAUCGAAGCCCCGGUAAACGGCGGCCGUAACUAUAACGGUCCUAAGGUAGCGAAAUUCCUUGUCGGGUAAGUUCCGACCUGCACGAAUGGCGUAAUGAUGGCCAGGCUGUCUCCACCCGAGACUCAGUGAAAUUGAACUCGCUGUGAAGAUGCAGUGUACCCGCGGCAAGACGGAAAGACCCCGUGAACCUUUACUAUAGCUUGACACUGAACAUUGAGCCUUGAUGUGUAGGAUAGGUGGGAGGCUUUGAAGUGUGGACGCCAGUCUGCAUGGAGCCGACCUUGAAAUACCACCCUUUAAUGUUUGAUGUUCUAACGUUGACCCGUGAUCCGGGUUGCGGACAGUGUCUGGUGGGUAGUUUGACUGGGGCGGUCUCCUCCUAAAGAGUAACGGAGGAGCACGAAGGUUGGCUAAUCCUGGUCGGACAUCAGGAGGUUAGUGCAAUGGCAUAAGCCAGCUUGACUGCGAGCGUGACGGCGCGAGCAGGUGCGAAAGCAGGUCAUAGUGAUCCGGUGGUUCUGAAUGGAAGGGCCAUCGCUCAACGGAUAAAAGGUACUCCGGGGAUAACAGGCUGAUACCGCCCAAGAGUUCAUAUCGACGGCGGUGUUUGGCACCUCGAUGUCGGCUCAUCACAUCCUGGGGCUGAAGUAGGUCCCAAGGGUAUGGCUGUUCGCCAUUUAAAGUGGUACGCGAGCUGGGUUUAGAACGUCGUGAGACAGUUCGGUCCCUAUCUGCCGUGGGCGCUGGAGAACUGAGGGGGGCUGCUCCUAGUACGAGAGGACCGGAGUGGACGCAUCACUGGUGUUCGGGUUGUCAUGCCAAUGGCACUGCCCGGUAGCUAAAUGCGGAAGAGAUAAGUGCUGAAAGCAUCUAAGCACGAAACUUGCCCCGAGAUGAGUUCUCCCUGACUCCUUGAGAGUCCUGAAGGAACGUUGAAGACGACGACGUUGAUAGGCCGGGUGUGUAAGCGCAGCGAUGCGUUGAGCUAACCGGUACUAAUGAACCGUGAGGCUUAACCUUACAACGCCGAAGGUGUUU